UGUGGUUUAAUGCCACUCCCUCGCUAAAAACCCUCAUGGUCUCACAUGAGGCGGUGUGUCUCUUUAGACAGACUCUCACUGAAGAAAGUUUCUCCUGCAGCAGAACAACCCUGGAGGAUGUCUCCAACUGUGAUUGGAUUUCUUCUCAUCUUGCUUUCAUACCAAGCUAAGAGUGUGACGUUUCAGCCGUCUCGUCCAAGAAUAGUCUACGAAAGAUCCAGGGUGGAUUUUAAAUGCAGUCACAAUGAUGGUGCUCUUAAUGUAAUGCUCUGGUACCAGCAAACAGAGAGCGGUCUGAUUCAUUUAAUUGGAUACGGCUACAGUGGCACUGACCCCAACUAUGAGCAGCAGUUUAAAGAUCGGUUUGAGAUUACACGAGAGGACACCCAAAGAGGAGCCCUGAUCAUUGACAGUGUCAAUCUAUCAGACUCGGCUGUGUAUUUCUGCGCUGCCAGUACACAGUGA